AACUCAAAUCCCCGGUGAAUUUAUUUGAUCCAACAUCGAGCACUCGGAGACGAACGAGAGCUGACAAUUCAGAUGGAAUUUUUCCUGAAAACCUGUUGUUUCUGAGGUUCAGAAUUUCCAGUUUGGUACAGUCAAGAAUCUGGGAAGGUAGUUGGUCAACAAGCUUGUUGUUGGACAGGGAGAGUUCUUUGAGUUCGGAAAGCCGUCCGAUUGCCCGGGAGAGCAACCCCUUGAGCUGUUGCGACUUGAAGACGAGUCUUGCGAUUCUCAGGACAUAUGUAUUGUUGCUUGUGAGCCUUCUUUCGCAGAUUAUUCCAGGUAGGUUGCAUGGUUUGGUGGAGGCUAGAUGAAGCUGAAUGUCGAUGCCCAUGUCCUUUUGGAUGGUCUUGAGGGCAUCGAGAUCCGAACGGUCAAGAACCAAUCUUGCAUGGGCUAGGACGAGGAGAGAGAGUAUUGACAGGAGGAAAAGCCGGGUUUUGCCGCCAGCAGCAGGCGCCAUAUGGUUGCGGAUUCCGGCGACGGGCUUGUUUUAGAUUAAGAGAGAGGCUAUAUUUGGCCGUGAGGAAUUCCAGAUAUUUUUUUGGCUAUUUGUUCAUAUUUCUUUUGGCUAUUUGUUCUCUGGAGCUUCCAUGUUGGAUGAUGAGUGCGUGGUUGGCUUUUUAAGCAGAACCUCUGUGGAAAAUAUUGCACGUAAUGGACCAUUUGCAUUGAAUUGCUUUUGAUAAGUUUACAGAUUUUGUUUGUAUUUGUGUCUGGACUUUUAAGGCAAAACCAGCAAAGAGUUGGCGUCAACGUCAACGGGGCUUGACGCCGACAGGCAGGUCGAGUCAACAAAAGCUGUGCAAGUCUUGGGCCGAUCUUGGGUCGAUCUUGGGCCGUUGGAUUGGAAAUUGAUAUGCGUGUGACGACCAGUUUGAGACUGACCUGAGAUUCCUCCCCAUUGGUUCUCCUUUGGACUUGGUUUAUGGUUUCCCACGAAAAACAGUUUAUCCCGGGCAAAUUUUUCCUCCGUUAAUUCUCAUUAAAUUAAAUUAUUCUUACAAAAAACUCUAAACUGAUAUUAUUCAUGAUAAACUGAGAUAAAGCCCUAAAUUGAUACAUCCGUAUAACAAAAAUUAAUAAAUGAUAAAAAAUUUCAUGUUAUUAAUCCUUUUUUUCUCUUUUUAUUAGUAUUUUCAUUUCUGUGUUUUUUUUUUUGUUAGAUAUGAGCAAUAGCUAGGAAAAAUGUAAGAAAAGUCCUUAAUUUCUUGUGUAAAUAUCAAUUCAGUUUUAAAUAUUUUAAUGGUAUCAAAUUAGUCUUAAAUCUUGUAACUUGAUGCCAAUUCAAUUAUAUACAUUUUAAUAGUACAAAUUUAGUCCUACACCUUUUGAAUUUAUUAUCGAACUUUUUUAUUUGAUGGCAAUUUAGUCAUUCAAGCUAAUUUUGGACGAAUCUUAUUGACGUGAACGUUGGUCAACUUACAUGGCAUUGUUGGUGCUAAUGUAGAUAAAUUUUAAUAAUAUUUUAAUAAUUUUUCGAUUUUUUUUUCAAUUUUUUUUUCUUUCUUCCUUUUUUCUUCCUCUAGACAAUGGCCAAUUGGUGGGUGAUGAUCAAGCCUUAGUGAGGUUGGCCCUCACCUAGGCGACGGUGAGGUCAACCCUUGCCAAAUUCGACGAGAUUGGCCCUUGCCCAAGCUAGGGUAGCGUCAACUUCGCUCAGGCAAUGCUUAGCAAGGCCAAAUCGAGUGAGGCUAACCCUUGUUGAGGCUCAACCUUGCUUUGGCUCGGCAAUGCGAGCUUGCCUAGCCAUUGCCUAUUGGCCUGUCACCGUCUAAAGGAAGAAGAAAGGAAGGAGAGAGAAAAAAUAAAGAAAAAAGAAAAAAAUCAUAAUUUUUUUUAAUAUUAUUAAAAUAUUAUUAAAAAUUGUUCUCGUCAGCAUCGAUAGUACCAAAUAAGUCGACCGGUGUCAACAUCAGCAAAAUCUAGCAAAAAAUAACUGAAAUGAUUGAAUUGGCAUAAAGUUAAAAUGUUUAAGACUAAAUCAACACUAAUUCAAAAUAUUUAUGACUAAAUUGAUACCAUUUAACAUGUUUAUGGCUGAAUUGACACUAAAUAAAAAUGUUUAUGAUUAAAUUGGCACCAUUACAAAGGUUUAGAAUUAAGAUAGCAUAAAUGUAAUGUGUUUAAGACUCUUUUUUUUUUUGAAACUUUUCCUAGCAAUAAUCUAUUGGACAGCUUGCCAAAGAAAGAAAUUCUAUCAGAAAAUUUUAAAAAAUGACGACGGAGUGUCAUUUUCUUGAUUUUAGUAGUUAACGCGGAAGGACACUUGUCCUUUUCACUUCCAUCUUCCAAGGGAAUACUGUCUAACAAUUUGGGUUUUGGUGGACGACAAUGACUUGAACGAGUGAUUGAUUAUAAAGGGAUCAAGUAUUAAUAGGUGAAAGCUUAUGUAUGCAACGUUAUGAUUGUUACCUUAAAGAUAGGAAUAAAGUCGUAAUCGACUCGAGCUGAUCCGUUUGUGGAAAUAUCGGCAACCGUAAAACAAUAAUUGAGGGGACCACACCUGUAAGUUUUGAUGACCGGAAAGAUAGAAUUUCAAUUGCAUUUUAGGUCGUUUGUGUUGGAUGUAUGCCCUAAAGCUACUAUGUAAUGGUUACAUAUUAAGGAUUUCGGUUGUACUUUUAUUAUUAUUAUUUAAUUAAUGGCAAUGACGUAUUCAUUCAUUUGUCCAAUUAUUUUAUAUUAAUGAAUGAUUCCAUAAGAUCAGUUGCAACUAGACCUAUUCUUGAGACGUCAAGAAUAUAUGUGACGGGUUCAUAGUUAGACUGAAUCUUUAAAUCGUUCCCGGUCGAUGGAUUAUUGAGUAGAUAUUAAUAAUCCUGUUGAGACCGAUGUGUUCUUAACUUCGCCAUUAAAUAUUGGAUACUUAAGGGAAUGAUGAGUCACAUGUCAUUGGGUAUUAUGAUGCCUGAGUUAGAAUACAGGUGUUUGUAUUAGACAAAUUCACUGAACGUGACGCAUAUGGAACGAUUAGCGACAUGAAAGCUUUUAGCGUGGUCAAUGUCUAAUUGUUCAUGCUUUGGUCUUGUGUAAAUAAUCCUUAGACCUGAGGCACAGUGUUAACUUGUGUAUUGAAUAACUAUGGUUCACGGGUGCACAUAAUGCCGGGUUGUUGAUCCGUCUUUAUACCUGAUGGUCAUAGUUUGUUCAUAUAUGAAGUUACACGUGUGCGCAAUAUGGAAUCUGUCUCCUUGUUAUAUGCAAGGUAUGAUAAUGAUGUUCUAUGCGAUCUAAUUGUGACACUGCAUUGAAAUCCUCGGCCGGGGUUGUAACCGAGAAUAAAUUGUUUAUGUCUCGAAUAAAAUGCAUGUCAAUUAGAUUUGUGCAUAUGAUCGAAUUAAUGACUUGACUAAUAUUACAUGGUCUUUGUUUGAUUGGGACAUAGUAAGACAGAGAGAUUGAAUUACACUGUAACAAAAGCUAACAUGUUCAUUAUGUUAUUAAAAUAUUCACACUAUCUGGGUAACCAUGACAUAUUGCUAAAUGUCAAUCAUAGCUUGUAAGACCCAAAGAUUAAUCGGGACAAUUAAUUCUUGUGGGAGUACUAAUGUGUUAGUACAAGUCUUACUACCAGCUUAGUGAUGAAUCUAGGGAUGUCACACACCAUAAACAACUAGGAUGACGUGGAACAAGAGAGAAAUAUUAUUGCAAAUGUGUUUGCAAUUAUUGCAAUCGAAUUGAGUCGACGAGCCUACUUGCAUAUGAUGCACACGCAUGCCCGAAGUGAAUAUAUGUUAACGUACCCCAAUUGUACAUAUAAGAUUAUGUUAUUUUAAUUUUAAAAGGAAUUGAUUAAUUAAUCCUUUAUUCGUUUAAUUAAUUAAUUAAAUUAAUUAAUGUACACAUGGUUGCAACGCACAUGAUAUGUGCAUUGCCUUUUAUUAGUAAUAAAAAAAAAUUAAAGCUUAAAGCUUCGUGCAUGUGCACGAUUCUUUAAAUCGUGCACAUGCACGAAAUCAUGCACAUGGUCAGCAUGCACGAAGAUCGUGAUCAGCAACGGUUGCUGAUCCCACGAUCAGCAACCGUUGCUGAUUUGUGAAGGCUUUAAGAAAUAAAAUGCCGCAAAAAGGUCGCGGGGAAUUUUUGUGAUGCUUUGCUGAAAAAAGAGAGCAAAGUGUGUGCGUGUUCUCGUGUCUUUGAGACGCAAGAAAGAAGAGCGUUAUCUCGUUCGGGCCGUGACUAUUAUACAUCAAGAAUACAACGGAUUGUUUCCACGUGAUUGCUAGCACGAUCGAAGUGGUGAAUAUCCGAAAGUUCUCUCUUCUGUUCGACGUUCAUUGUUGGUGUGUCUAAACUAGAGGUCCGACGCUUGUGAGACUCGAACUGUAGAACAUCCGAACUGAUUCGUUUCAAAGCGCGCUUCGAGAGGUAAUUCUUUUGACUCCCUUCUAUGUUUAGAUUUUUUAUUAAACGCACGAACAACACCUUAGGAGAAUCGUGUAUAAAAUAUAUCUUUGUUUUCGUCGCGUACUUUAUGUUAAUUUUUCUUAUACAUGAUUCAUGAAACCCCAACAGUUUGUACAAGCUGAGAAUAGUUCCUAGUUCGACCAAAAAAAGAAAAAAGAAAUAGUUCCCAGUUGAUACCUGUGAAAAACAAACAGAGAAGUAAUUUGGGAUAAUUGCCCCCAAAUAAUCUUAAAAUUAAUCAUAUUGAUACAUUGAUAUCCCAAAUUAUGUUCAUACAAUAUAUUUGAAUCAUGUAUGAGAUUACUCAUUACGUAUAUGGAUGAGUUAGAUAUCAUACAAAUAACAGGUUAGAUAUCAUACAAAUUCAACUUAUGUAUUUUAGGAUCUUAAUAUUUUGCAGUUAACAUUUAGCUCUGAAACAUUUUUUUUCCUGAUCAAUGGACGUCUUUUUAUCUUUGUCAAUCAAGAAGUUAUUCAAGAGAAGUGUUGACCACCAAGUGGUAAAAGCAGUCGGAGAGUACUCCGUUUUCUCGUGGAGUCACAAUUAGAAUCAAGUCAUGGGCAAAUUUCUAAUUAGAUUAUGCAUAUUCGAUACACGAGUUUGAUUCACCUCAACCUGUCAAACGUUUACGCACAUCAAUGAGCUUAUAACAUGGUUUUACGCUUUUUUAAUAGUGAUCCUUCUGAAACAAGCAGGUUAGGCUCUGUGAGUUUUUUGUUCAUCUUGUGUGUUCCAGUGAGCUUUCACCAAUAAGCCCGCUUACACUUCCAUCCGUCUUUCGACAUAUUAGCUUUUUGUUCUUUUUCAAAAUGAAUGAGUAACAAGCUUAAGCAGAAAGAAGAAAUGAGCAUCAAAAGGCCCGUGGAUCACAUGGCACAAUUGUGGGAUAUAUGGGUAAGCAUAAGGAGCAAGGUCCGAAUCUGAGCCGAAGACCAAGCCCAAACCCAAGCCCAAUUUCUAAAUUGAGAAAUCCUUCAAAAUUCGUGGCAAGAGUAAGCAAUCGGAUAUGGAGGUCAGUUUUUCUCUCCACCAAGCCGAAAAGUCUUUUCCUCUCUUCUCUUUAUCUUCUUCAACCUUCAACCAUGAGAAGGGCUCUCAUCCUCCCCUCCAUCUGUUUUGAUUUUCUUUGAGUUCUUUUUUUUUUAAAUUACUUUUUCUCUUUUUUCUCUAUCCUAAUCUAAAUUUGAGAGUUGUGUUCUUCUGAUCUAAUUCUAAAUUUGAGAGUUUGAACUCUUCAAAUCUAAUUCUAAACCUAGGAGUUCUUCUUCCCCAAUUUAAAUAUGAGAGUUUAAUAAUAUUUUCAGAGAUUCAAUACUCCCGUGCUUUCUCCGUGUAUAGAUCUUCUACCUCUAGUUUGUCUUACUAAAUUAUAAAGAUUUGCUGUUCCAAAUGUUAGAUAUGUAUUUGUCUUUGUACAACAAUGGUGUAAAGAAAGCCGAACCUAGUUGCGCACCACCAACUAGUAACGUUGUUGUUAUUAGAGAAGAUAUUUCCAAUGUGUGCUCAUCAUUGACAAAAAUACGAGAUCUAGUAAUUGAUCACCAUUUUUUUUAUUUGACAAAUCCAUUGUGUGUAUGCUUAACUUUGCCGGUGCUUUGUUGAUUCUCCUUAUCUUUCGGAUUUGGCUUUGUUUUGUAGGUUUCGUUUGUUUUGCGGUUCAUUGGGGAAAAUGUUUAGUCUUCUAAAUUAGGGGAAAACAUUUUCUUCACUUGAUCUCUCUUAUCUCACACCUCUACAAAUUCUCACUUCCUCCUCCUCUGUCUUCUUCUUUUUUUUUUUCUUUUUAUAUUCAAAUUAUUUUUUAAUUUUAUUUUUCUUUUUUAAUUCAAAUUAUUUUUAAUUUCAAUUUUCUUUUCUAUUUAUUUUCUUUGGGUCCAUUCGUUUUGCGGAAAAUGGACCAUUUCCGGAAAAUAUUUUCCUAGAAGUCAUUUUCCAAGAAAAUGACAAUAUUUUCUGGUGUCCGGCUAAAACUUGGAAAUGUUUUGGAAAAUAUUUUUCAGUGUUUGGUAAGGAAAAUAUUUUCCGCUCUCCAGAUUGGCGAGCGUGAGCGUCAAGCUCAAGGCUCGCCAGAUCGAUGAGCACGAGUUUGAGAUCAACGAGCUUGAGGUUCACCUGGUCUGACGACUAGCCAAGAAAGAAGAAGAUGAGAAACAAAAAAAAAAAGAGAAAAAAAGAAAAAAGAAAAAGAAAAGAAAAAGAAAAUUAAAAAUAAUUCGAAUUAAAAAAGAAAAAGAAAAUUAAAAAAUAAUUCUAAUAAAAAAGAAAAGAAGAAGAAGAAAUGGGAGGAGGAAGUAAGGAUUUGUAGAGGUGUAAGGUAAGAGAAAUCAAGUGAGGAAAAUGUUUUCCACUUUCCACUUUUCAAAAGUGGAAAACAUUUUCCCUUACUUUAGAAGACUUUUUUCCUUUGAUGGAAAAUAUUUUUCCGAAGGAAUUCAUUUUCCAUAAAACGAACGCCGGAAAAUUUGGAAAGCGUUUUCCCGGAAAUUAUUUUCCGUGAAACGAACGGAACCAUUGUUUCCCAUCUUCUUCUUUCUUGGCUAGUCGUAAGCCGUUGCUAGGAGAACCUCGAGCUCGUCGAUCUUAAGCUUGCGCUCUGUACUCUUACUUAUCAUUUUCUUUAUUUACUCUACCUAUAGUUGUACAUUACUCAAACAAAGGGCUCUACAUGUUUCGCUUCUUUUUUCUUUUGUUUAUUAAAACACAAAAGACACGGGAGGAGAACAUGUCACUCAACUGGAAGAUUCUUAUUAGGGCUGUACAUGCUUUGCUUCUUUUUAAAAUCCAUAUGAACAUUUUUUUAAAGUAAAUGAGUGUUUGUCAACAAUGAGGGUACAAAGAUAUGAAGCAAGUUUGCAAGAUUUAAAGGUAAGUUCAUAUUUGAUAAAUUUAUAGGUUGAUAAGUGAUGCAUGCCUAAGUGGUGAAGUUUUAAAAAUAUUUUCCUUACCAACAUCGGAAAAAAAUAUUUUUCGAAACAUUUUCAGGUUUUAGCUGAACACUAGAAAAUAUUAUCAUUUUCCUGAAAAAUGACUUAUGGGAAAAUAUUUUCGAAAAUUGCCAAUUUCCGCAAAACGAACGCACCCGUAGUAUUAUGACAUUUGCUUUGCUUCGCUUUACCAUGAAAGUUGAGGUAUUUAUAAUAUAGUCUUUUCAACCAUGAAUAUAAUUUUCUUUUUUCGACCAAAAGAGAAGCAAUCGAAAUAAUAAAACUAUAUAUUUAUGUGUUUACUUUCCGUUAUAUACACUCUUCGGCCUUGGAUUUUUUACCGAAAAUUUCGGAUAAUCCCUCUCUCUUUCUAGAGUAAAACUAGAACCGUGCUUCAUCAUAGAUGGGCAAAAUCGCAAUUUACAAAAAGUACAAUGGAUGUCAAAUAGCUCACGAAAUCUCUCGCAUUUCAAAUUUAAAUUCGAGAUAAUUAUUGCAAUCAUCUCAUGAAUCCCUAAUAUCUUAAAAUUCAUACCAUAUUUCUCAAAAAGGUCAAAUCUUUACACACACAUAUAUAUUUGUUUUAUUGUUUAGUAAUUUAAAAAUUGCUCGGUUGCGUGUAGUAGAAAUUGAGACGUGUGCUCUGAACAGUGACAUCAUCCUGGGCCUGGCGUGUAUUUGCCGCGACCCGGUGCCCGUGUCCCCCUAGAACUCUUCGCCUCUACUCUCGCAAAUCGCCAACCCAUCUCCCCCCCCCCCCCCCCUCUCUCUCUCGCUCUCGUGGGUUCGAUUCCUCUCCGUUCCAAUGGGUAACCGCGCUUCCACGCGCAUGGAGGUGAUUCUCUUUCCCUGGCUCCUCUGAUUUGCGAUCGUACCCGGCUGCGAAUCAAGUCACUCAGGUCGUUGCUGGCCCUCACCUAGGCCAAAGUGAGGUCGAUCCUUGCCUGGGCGAGGGCAGCCUUGACAAGGGCUCUCCUUGCCAAAUCUAGCAAGGUCACCCUAGCCAGAGUGAAGGCCGGACUUGGCGGGUUUACUCUUGCCUAGGCAAUUGACCUCACCUAGGCUAGAUCGGGCGAGGCCAACCCUUAUUAGGCUUGACCUCGCCCUAGCUAGGUGAGGCUAGCCUACUUGGCCAUGGCCAACGGUUGGACAUCGCCUGCUGGCCGGCCACAAAGAGGCUUGUUAGCCCGAGCCUCGAGGGGCCACGGUGAGGCUUGGCCUCCCUAACCGGCAUGAGGUUGGGUCUCACUAAGGCUAGGCUAGCCUUCGACAAGCUCGUCGAUCGGCCACGACGGUGGCCGACAACUGGCCAAAGAGAAAAAAAAGAGAGGAAAAAAUAAUAAAAGAAUUAAAAUUAAAAGAAAUAAAAAAAUCUAAGAAUUUUACCAAACGUAUUUCUAUUUUGGGAAUAUAAAUUUUGGGAAGUUGCCAAACGCGUUUUUUUGCGCAGAAAUUAUUCCCGAGAACAAAAAUAGUAAGAAUCAUUUUUCAUAAAAAAUUGUUCCUAGAAAUAGCAUUAUUACCAAACGUGCCCUUAUAGGCCAUACUAAAGAAGAAAUAAGCAUCAAAAGGCCCGUGGCUUACAUGGCACAAUGGUGGGAUAUGGGCCUUGAUAUUCAUGAGCACAAGGUGCAAGGUCUGAAUCCGAGCCCAAGCCCAACUUCUAAAUCGAGAAAUCCUUCAAAAAUCGUGGAAGGAAUAAGGGCGCGUUUGAUAACGAUUAUGUUCCGAAAACUGAUUUUGACUAGAAAUGAUUAUUUUUUAUUCUGUUCCCGAGAACUGAUUUUGAGUAAAAAAACGCGUUUGGUAACUGUCCAAAAUUUUUGAUUCUGGAAUAGAAUUGCGUUUGAUACCGUGCUAAUUGAUUAUGUUCCAAAUUAAUUUCUUUUGAUUUUUAAAUAAUUUUUAAAUAAUUUUUUUACAUUUUUACAUUUUUCCUUUUUUUUUUUUCCUUUUUCCCCUUUUCUCCUAUUCUCCUUCUUCUUCAUGUGGCCGGUCGCUGGCCCUCGGCGAGGUCGGCCCUCGUCAGUUGAGCCUCGCCGAUGGUCAGGUCGGUCUCGCCGGGGCUAGGCGAGGUCGGCCUGGCCAUCGGCAGGGCUGGGCAAGCCUUGCUGGUGGCUGGGCUUGCCUUCGGCGAGCUCGCCGGACCUCGCCCUGGCCUGGCGAGCCUCCGGCGAGCGGCAGCGAAUGGCGGCGGGUGGUGGUGGACGGCAAUUGCGGGAUGACGGAAGGGAAGAAUGAGAGUUUCACUGUUUUGAUUCUUUUUUUGAUUCUUGGACGAAGAAUCAUAUUUUUUUUUUCUCAAUUUUCUUCCCAAUUUGUUCUAGGGAACAAAAAUUUUACCAAACGCGAUUCUCGUCCCAAACUGAUUUUGGGAACAAAAAAUCAGAAUCAAACACUGUUUGACACGUUGCCAAACAAGUCCUAAGCAAUCGAACUAGUAAAACCAUAUAUUUAUCUAUUCACUUUUCUAUAUAUACUCUUCGGCCUCAGAUUUUUUUAUGUGAAAAUUUUAUGAUAAUCGCUCAUCUCUUUUUGAGUGCAAAACUAUAACUGUAUGCAGCUAAUAUCAGAAUUUAUGAAGAUUGUAAAGAAUGCCGAGUAAAUCACAAAACUCUCGCAUUCCAAAUUUAAGUUCGAGAUGAUUAUGGCUCGAUUACAUUCCAACACUAUUUAUGUAUAUAUAUUUGUUUUGUUGUUUAGUAAUAUGAAAAUUGCUCGAUUGCGUGAAGUAGAAAUAGAGACAUAUGUCAUGAACAGUGACAUCAUUCUGGGCCUGGCGUGUAUCUGCCUCGACCCGGUGCCCUUGUCCCCAAGAACUCUUCGAUCUCUACUUUCGCCAAUCGCCAUCUCGCUCGCUCGCUCGCUCUCUCUCUCUCUCUCUCGUGGGUUCGAUUCCUCAUCGUUCCAACGGGUAACCGCGCUUCCUCGCGCAUGGAGGAGAUUCUCUUUCCCUGGCUCCUCUGAUUCGCGAUCAUACCCGGCUGCAAAUCGGGUCGCUAGGGUCGUUGCGCUCGAUGUUGCUGACGCCCCCGCUAGUUCGCGCGCUAGUAAUUUCCAUCGCGAGAAAAAUAGGAAAGAGUGGAUCAAGGGUGAAUCUGGUCGAGUUCUUCGUAUGCAAUGAGGUGGAUAAGUCUUAGCUUCGCCUUUUUGAAAUAAAGGGUCGGUUCCUGAUGAUUCCGUCCCGGUCAAGCAGCAUCGGCAGCUUAGUGGGUUUGUUAGUUUCAACUAGAUGGUGAGGGAUACAGUUAAAAAAUUUCAUCUUUGUGGGUUAUGGGAGGGAAAGAGACAAUUUUGAGCCUUUUCUGAAAAUGAGGAUGCACAGAGUAUCCGAUAUUGGAGCAGAUAAUGGAUCUUUCCGGCAUAAAUAGAGGAAAACUAGCAUGUGGCUUUGAAUAUUGGGUACAUCCAGAUUAUUUUCUGGUAGAAUUUCGUGGACGAAAUCGGGACUGUGUCUUUGAUGUGCUGAAUUUUGUUGGACGGAUUUCAUAAUGUAGCCUUGAUUUGUCACCUUAGCAAUCAAGCCAGUGUUGAGGUCACGCCCAUUUAUGUUGUAAGGUUGUGACUUGUGAUUGAUGGCAUCGGUUGUAGCUUUGCACAUGAAUAUAGUGAUACAGUAUAAGUUGUACUGUCCCUUUCACUAAAGCUUUCUUUGGCUACUCUAGUCAUCAUACUUCACUGUAGGACUAUGCAGGACAAGGUUCUCUGAUGUAGAGAACCUGCUAUAUUACAUCGGGUUGUUCUCCUUUAGACUGCACCUAUAUUUUUGAAGUUCUAUCUAGAGAAUUCUAGCAUGUUGGAACUUGUCCAGGAUAACUGACGGUCUGUAUUGUAGAUACACUUUGGUUUUUUACUGUCUCGCUCUUUAAAUCGUUUGAAUUUACAUUGGCUUGUGCUAUCUGUUUCUUUUACUUGUAUCGGACCAUUAUAAGGGAGGAACAAAUUCUGUUUUGUAGCAGUUUUCGAGUGGAAAUGGCAUAGAUAGGAACAAAGCAAUGGUGGAGCAGUUGCAGUGCUAUGGCAUUUUUAAUUCAAAGAAAGUUGCUGAAACAAUGGAGAAGUUGAUAGGGGUUUAUUCGUUCCAGCUGGGACUCCAGCUUAUGUUGAUAGCCCCAUGGCAAUUGGUUACGAUGUCACCAUUUCUGCACCUCAUAUGCAUGUGAUGUGCCUUCAGUUGUUGGAGAGAAAUUUGCAGCCCGGCAUGCAUGCUCUAGAUAUCGGCUCAGGUUGUCAUGUUAAUCCUUUUUCUAGGGAUCAUGUCUACAUUGAGAUGCACAUACAUUCUCCACAAUUUGCGCGUCCUCUUUCAUUUGUGGUCCUCUUCCUAUAAAUACUUAAAUCUAUCGGAAUUCAGAUAGAGAGGAAAAUAAUCAUGCCUGCUCACCUUAGUAAUGAUUCAGCUGACAAUUCCCCCAUUUGUGACUUGCUGGGAUUUUAUAAUAAGUGCCAUGAGAGCACAGAUUUUGCGGCUUCACCCGGUUUUCCCAUUCGGGUUUUGCAGAAACCCCGGUCCCAGCCCUUCGGCUGCUCUCGGUGGGGCGGAGCCUGCAGAGAGCGACAACGCUGGGCGCGUGUGGGCGGAUAGCAUGAAGAAGAAGAGGAAGAGGAAGAUGAACAAGCACAAGUAUAAGAAGCUCAGGAAGUGCCUCUGGCGAAAGGCCAAGUCGUAGUUUGGAAUUUGAAUUCGGUGAGAAUCCGAUGCGGCAGCGUUCGGUGCAUUUUUGGCUUUUUUUUCCUGUUGUUGUCCAUAAUUGUGACUGUUGUGGGUUCUCUGAAUGAAGUUCUUGGUCCGCAGUAAGAUGUUCUAUUGAAUCUAGUAUCGUAUUAUUAUUUACCUUUGCAAUACCGACGCGGAAUCCUGAGCUACUGAUAAGAAAACAAAGAAAGGCGAAAUUUAGGGUGGAAUGUCAAGUCUACUAGCCUUUCUGUGGAUUAGCAGACCCGCCUCUGUCCAAAUCACAGCUUCUGCCGGUGUAUACGCUGUUCCAUCUCCAUCCUAGAGACGAUAGAAGGGGCUUAUCUGAUAAGGAAUGCUUGGAUAAUCUCACUGUUGGGUGAGCACUAAGGUCGGUAAGCAGGGAGUGUGAUCCUUUUAGGUUAGCAAAUUGUUCCGACUCAUCUUGGCAGAGUGGCGUGAUUUCUGGGCCGACAGUUUAUUUCGAUUAUCUUAGACGUUAGAGGCGUAUUGAAUUUCUAGUGUUGUUCUGCAUUUGCUUUGCAAGGAAAGUGCAUGCGAAUAUCAUGGCAAGAAAGUGGAAGGUCUCUUUGCCUCUCUUUUCUUGUUUCAGAGUAAUACGAGUUAGCAGUCGCAUAAGAAGAUAAAGGGAAAUUGCAUUAACAUAGAAAUGAUACUAGACACGACUUAAGCUUCAUAGGACCGACACAUCUUAAGCUUCAUAGGACUAUCUUUCUGAAGGUACACACUGCCUUUCUAGUUUGGUCAUAUAUCCUUAUUGUGACACAUCUGGAAUCACAACAUCUACACGGAGGCUUAGUGCUUAAUCUGAGAUAACAUGCAUCGCGCGUCCUUACUGUUGGGCCUGUGCUUUGGCUCAUCCAGUGUACAGUAGUAGGCGACCUUUAAAACCAGCAGCAUUUGCUCCUCGAACCCAUUGCCAAUCAACUUUGGGUCAAUCGCUUGUUGAGGAUUGUCCCCAGUCAUCACAUUUCUCAACCACUUGACCAGACUUAUUUCUUGGGUGCGUUGGAAGAACUCAUCCGAUGGUAGUUUCCCGAUGACCAGGGCAGCAAGCAGAACACCGAAGCUGUAUAUAUCGCUCUUCUCCGUGAACUUGGAAGUCAGAUGGUACUCUGGAGCAAUAUAUCCCAAAGUCCCUACGACAUUGGAGCUUGUGACAUGAGUAUCGGUAUCUGGCAUAGCUUUUGCAAGCCCAAAGUCGGAUAUUCGGGCCUCCAUGUCAUCAUCUAGAAGGACAUUGGCAGGCUUGAGGUCUCGGUGGAUGAUCCUCGGAUUGUGGUUCAUAUGGAGAUAUUCGAGCCCGGCUGCCACUCCCAGCGCAAUUCGGUGCCUCGUGACCCAAUCCAACUCUGUCUGACCUUGUGAAACCUUCUCUAGUAAAUCCUGUAGGCUCCCAUUUUUCAUGAACUCGUACACUAGUAAGUGGCAGUCGGGACGAGUCAAGUGCGCCAGCAAGGGAAGUAAAUUGCGAUGUCGAAUCUGGCCAACAGUCUGUAUCUCGGACCGAAUUUGGCGCAUUUUCCUAUCCAAGUCUCUGGUGUCUUCUUCUGUUAGCUCUGUUGCAUCCCUGGGAGGUUGAAUUAUCUUCUUUAUAGCAAUCAUCUUUCCAUUGCUCGCGGGUAACUCGGCCUUGUAAACUUCCCCGCAGCCACCUCUGCCAAUGAUUGUCAGUGAUGACAGUCCCUCUUCGCUUUCCAAGAAAGCCAAAUCCUCAGCUUUCUUGAUCAUCGGGCUAAAGAUUGCUGGUGCGGAGUCUCUGCGUCCCCCUCGGAUUGCCGCCAAGGUCAGCCUAAAGAGCAGCGAGAAGACAAACCCCGAGACGAUUCCAGCAACUGCUCCAGCUAGGAACCCUAGUAGCCACCCACUUAGCUUCCUUCGGCUUUUUUUACUGUUGGAUGGUUCGUUUUCUGAUGGAGGAGGAGCUGGAGUACUUGAAGCGUGUGAUGGUGUUGGUGCAACCUCCGGACUGUUGGGUUUCGGUCCGGGUCUCGUGCUAGGACCCUCUUCAAAAAUGUAACGUCUCGGUAGAGUGUCACCGGAUGGUUCAGCUCUGUUCAGCGAUGGCACUGGACCUUCAAGAAACAAGUUCCCCGAAACAUCAAAGAAGCGGAGAUUCCGGAAUGAGCGUAUGGAAGCUGGAAUUUUCCCAGUGAAGAGAUUAUCAGAGAGAGUGAGUUUUUCCAGGUUGGGGAAAUACUUAAGGAAACUCAAAUCCCCAGUGAAUUUAUUUGAGCCAACAUCGAGCACUCGGAGAUGAUUGAGAGAUGACAAUUCAGAUGGAAUUUUUCCUGAAAACCUGUUGUUUCUGAGGUUCAGAAUUUCCAGUUUGGUACAGUCAACAAUCUGGGAAGGUAGUUGGUCAACAAGCUUGUUGUUGGACAGGGUGAGCUCUUUGAGUUCGGAAAGCCGUCCGACUGCCGGGGAGAGCGACCCCUUGAGCUGUUGCGACUUGAAGACGAGUCUUGUGAUUCUCAGGACAUAGGUAUUGUUGCUUGUGAGCC
rnacentral:lncRNA from 1 species